AUGCAUAUUUGUCAGGUGAUUUCUAGUGCAAAAUAUUCAAUAAUCUAUUUAUGUUAUCCAGAACAAAAAUACUUCACACACUUUUGUAUUUUGUCUAAUUGCAGGUGUAUGGGACAUUUGUACAAUCCACAUAUGAAGAUAAGGGAGAAAGAGAUGUUUACUUGCUGUUCAAAAAGUUCUCUCACGUCACUUUUGGCCCAAGAGAAGAUAGAGUCCAAGUCUCUCACGUUCUGGAUUCAGAUUCGGACUGCACAGACAUACUUGACUCAAAAACGCCAACAACUUUUUCAUACGGACUCCAAAUUGGGUGAUUCUUUUUUUGUUGGAAACUAG
rnacentral:rRNA from 1 species